AAUCUUUACCAGAUACAAAAAUAAUAACUUCACAAUGGAAAUGUGGACUUAUGAACAUCUAUGAACACAGUGAAAAUGGAUGAAGAUUUAAAUGAAACUUCCUCAGUUAUGUAAUCCAAACUACAAAAAUCGAAGUCAAGGGAGAUGGAUGCCAGGUGAGGAUACAAAGAGAAGUUGAUAGUCUGCCGCCUAGAAAAAAGCCCUCACCAGCACCUGACCGUGCUGAUACUGUGAUCUGGAACUUUCAGCCUCCGGAACUGUGAGAAAUAAAUGUUCGUUGUAUAAGCCACCUGGUCAAUGUUGAUUUGUUAUAGCAGCCCAAGCUGAUUGAGACUGAUCAAGAUAAAGGGUUAACUAUUACAUGAUAUA
rnacentral:lncRNA from 10 species